UGGGGUUGUGGCUCAGUGGUAGAGUGCUUACCUAGCAUGUGUGAGACACUGGGUUUAAUUCUCAGCACCACAA
rnacentral:tRNA from 1 species